UUUUGUUCCAAAAACCUUGGGACUCCAUCAGGCCUGCUGAAAGCUUCCCUUCUGUGGAUGAAUGGCCCCCAAGUAGGGUUCCUCUUGCCUGUCCAAUGCAAAGGAGAUAUUUCAUGACAUCAUCCGCAAGCUUUGAUGGAAGUAUGUGAAGCCAGGGUGAUUGGCCAUUCAGUGCCUGAGAUAGGAGCAGUCACUGGUUUUGUUUUUUUCUAAGUGAAGUCUUUUCUUUUACCUUAAACUUUCCACACUGAUUUUUUUUU